rnacentral:rRNA from 1 species
CCUUGAAGAUCGGAGUGCUUGCACUCUGUGAAACAAGAUACAGGCUAGCGGCGGACGGGUGAGUAACACGUGGGUAACCUGCCCAAGAGAUCGGGAUAACACCUGGAAACAGAUGCUAAUACCGGAUAACAACAGAUGAUGCCUAUCAACUGUUUAAAAGAUGGUUCUGCUAUCACUCUUGGAUGGACCUGCGGUGCAUUAGCUAGUUGGUAGGGUAACGGCCUACCAAGGCGAUGAUGCAUAGCCGAGUUGAGAGACUGAUCGGCCACAUUGGGACUGAGACACGGCCCAAACUCCUACGGGAGGCAGCAGUAGGGAAUCUUCCACAAUGGACGCAAGUCUGAUGGAGCAACGCCGCGUGAGUGAAGAAGGGUUUCGGCUCGUAAAGCUCUGUUGUUGGUGAAGAAGGACAGGGGUAGUAACUGACCUUUGUUUGACGGUAAUCAAUUAGAAAGUCACGGCUAACUACGUGCCAGCAGCCGCGGUAAUACGUAGGUGGCAAGCGUUGUCCGGAUUUAUUGGGCGUAAAGCGAGUGCAGGCGGCUCGAUAAGUCUGAUGUGAAAGCCUUCGGCUCAACCGGAGAAUUGCAUCAGAAACUGUCGAGCUUGAGUACAGAAGAGGAGAGUGGAACUCCAUGUGUAGCGGUGAAAUGCGUAGAUAUAUGGAAGAACACCGGUGGCGAAGGCGGCUCUCUGGUCUGUUACUGACGCUGAAGCUCGAAAGCAUGGGUAGCGA